rnacentral:rRNA from 1 species
GUGUCAGCCGCCGCGGUAAAACGUAGGAGGCAAGCGUUAUCCGGAUUUAUUGGGCGUAAAGCGCAUGCAGGUGGUUUUACAAGUCGGAUGUGAAAGCUCCUGGCUUAACUGGGAGAGGUCGUUCGAAACUGUAAGACUGGAGGUCGGAAGAGGGAAGCGGAAUUCCCGGUGUAGUGGUGGAAUGCGUAGAUAUCGGGAGGAACACCAGUGGCGAAAGCGGCUUCCUGGUCCGAUUCUGACACUCAGAUGCGAAAGCGUGGGGAGCGAACAGGAUUAGAUACCCUGGUAGUCCACGCUGUAAACGAUGGGUACUGGGUAUCGGUGGUAUUGACCCCAUCGGUGCCGAAGCUAACGCGUUAAGUACCCCGCCUGGGGACUACGGCCGCAAGGUUAAA